rnacentral:rRNA from 1 species
UACGUAGGGGGCGAGCGUUGUCCGGAAUCAUUGGGCGUAAAGCGCGUGUAGGCGGCUCGGUAAGUCUGCUGUGAAAGUCCAGGGCUCAACCCUGGGAUGCCGGUGGAUACUGUCGAGCUCGAGUCCGGAAGAGGCGAGUGGAAUUCCUGGUGUAGCGGUGAAAUGCGCAGAUAUCAGGAGGAACACCAAUGGCGAAGGCAGCUCGCUGGGACGUGACUGACGCUGAGACGCGAAAGCGUGGGGAGCGAACAGG